rnacentral:snoRNA from 1 species
AUCCUUUUUGGUUCAUAGGCAUGAUGAUCACUCUGUUGUGUGAGCCUCCUGCUAAACAUUGUUAUGAUGUCAGCACAUUCCCCAUAUGACA